AACGAACGCUGGCGGCAUGCCUAACACAUGCAAGUCGAACGAGACCUUCGGGUCUAGUGGCGCACGGGUGCGUAACGCGUGGGAAUCUGCCCUUGGGUGCGGAAUAACAGUUAGAAAUGACUGCUAAUACCGCAUAAUGACUCCGGUCCAAAGAUUUAUCGCCCAGGGAUGAGCCCGCGUCGGAUUAGCUAGUUGGUAGGGUAAAAGCCGACCAAGGCAACGAUCCGUAGCUGGUCUGAGGGGAUGAUCAGCCACACUGGGACUGAGACACGGCCCAGACUCCUACGGAAGGCAGCAGUGGGGAAUAUUGGACAAUGGGCGAAAGCCUGAUCCAGCAAUGCCGCGUGAGUGAUGAAGGCCUUAGGGUUGUAAAGCUCUUUUACCCGGGAUGAUAAUGACAGUACCGGGAGAAUAAGCCCCGGCUAACUCCGUGCCAGCCGCCGCAGUAAUAC
rnacentral:rRNA from 1 species